rnacentral:rRNA from 1 species
GAUGAACGCUAGCGGCAGGCCUAAUACAUGCAAGUCGAGGGGUAACGCAGGUCGCAAUACUGGGUGACGACCGGCGCACGGGUGCGAAACACGUAUAUAAUCUGCCCUUAUCAGGAGGAUAGCCCGGAGAAAUUCGGAUUAAUACUCCAUAACAUUGCUUUGUGGCAUCACAGAGCAAUUAAAGUUCCGACGGAUAAGGAUGAAUAUGCGCCUGACUAGCUAGUUGGUGAGGUAAAGGCUCACCAAGGCGACGAUCAGUAGGGGUACUGAGAGGUUAAACCCCCACACUGGUACUGAGACACGGACCAGACUCCUACGGGAGGCAGCAGUAAGGAAUAUUGGACAAUGGAGGCAACUCUGAUCCAGCCAUGCCGCGUGCAGGAAGAAGGCGCUACGCGUUGUAAACUGCUUUUAUAACAGAGAAAACCCCGGUACGUGUACUGGGUUGAUAGUAUGUUAAGAAUAAGCAUCGGCUAACUUCGUGCCAGCAGCCGCCGUAACAC